GAACCUGGCAGGGACUCCAGAUUCUAGGUUGGAUGCAAGAUAGAUGAGGAGUUUGGGUGGCUGUCCUGGUUUCUGUUGGUACCAGUGCAUAUAACUAUAGCCAGAUGUACUGACACUUUUGCUGGCCCUGCAUGAGAUGGUGGCCCUCUGCCCCAGAGAUACAGCUAAGGAAGCAGGAGACUGUGUCAGCACAAUGUCACCAGUGGAACCUGGAA
rnacentral:lncRNA from 1 species